GCCCUCCCGCGAAGGGAGGGGACAAAGAGGAAGCCCCGCCAGGAAAGCCCCGCCCCCUUUUCCUGUCUCCGAAGGGCGGGGACGGAGAAGAGCCCCGCCCUUUCCCGGCUCCAGCGCGUGUUGUGGGGGCGGGGCCGCCGCUGUGCCCCGGGCGGGAGUAACAGCGCGCCCCCUGUCAGCGGGGCGGCUCGGGCGCAGGCUGGGAGCGGCCAGUCUCUGCAGUGCGGGGCGCGGGGAGGCUGCAGGGGGUGCCCAGCACGGAUUGCCCUGCCAGGGCUGCUGCUCGCCUCCCGCACGUGCUUCCAGUCUGCUCGGGGCGCUGGCGGUGGCUCUCCCGAGUCCCCCCCCCGUGUGGGCGCAGCAGGCCUUACCUUUCCCACCCUCACGUCUGCCACGGGGAGGGGGGUCUGCAUCUGCUCUAUGUGGCUUAGCAAUUGAAACCCCUGGCGCAGCCAGCGGGAAAGCUGUGGGCGCGGUAGCCGGCCUGCCUCCCUCUGGGCUGGUUUCUGCAGGCCUGCGGGCUGAAGAGUUGCUACUGGGAUGGAGCACGGGCCUCCUUCCUCCUCAGCCAGCCUAAGGAGACUGUGCCCCACCUGAACUAGGGGAGCUCUGCCCACUUCAAGAGCCGAAAGGGCCCUAUCACCCAGCUAAAUAGCCAGAGUAUGGCCAGAGGGACUUGACCCCCAUCCGGCCAGAUUAGCCAGCAAGACAUUCACGCAUGUAAUAUACUGCUGCUAGCAGAGGCUGCAGCCCACCCCACCUUCUGCCACUAUCAACUGGCAGCUAUGGGAGCUAUUGUGAAGAGGCUUCAUGUAGUGCUGGAGAAGGGGAAAGCAUUGCUGAAGGAGAGAUAGUGUGGGCUGGAAUGAUUGAUGGAUUUGGGAAGGAGCAGUAUGUGGGAUUGUGAUGAGGUUUUUUAGGAGGGAUGUUGUUUCACCCAGGUAAUUUGUUUCUUGUCAAAUAUUAACAGCACUGGACAGACAGCAGUAAUCCUGUUACAGCAGCAUCUUUCCCAAUCCUGCCACCUUCAGAUACAAGGCUCCUAGCUCUUUCCACUACAUUUGCUUCUCAGCUGUGCUCAGCAGCAGCCUUAAGGGAGGAAGUCAAUCUCCCAGGGUGGAAGGUGAAUUUUGUGUGAAAAAGGCGGCCAACCUGCUUGCUGACAUUUCACUGCUGCGGGUGAGCAGGGAAACCAGGGCACAACUACGGCAUGCGUUCACCCCCGUCUAUAUGCAGCUCAGCUGUGUGCCGCUUUGGUCCCAGCUCCAGUGACUGCUGAAUGGCGUGGUACCAUUUCCUACAAUGGGGGAAACUAACAAGGCUGCAAUCCCUUGGAAUCUGCGACGGAGGAUUAACAAGUAUCUCUUGGAAACUUUCCAGAGUCUCUCUCUGGAGGAUUCCCUGCAGGUCUCGAUGUCCAUCGACACCCUGCUUGGCCAUGCAGAUUAGCUACACAGGGCAAUGUCCAGCUCAAAUAAAACACUACCUACGUUCCACUUUCGAUUCCCUACACAAGCCACAGCAACUUACCCAACAUCUCAUCUGCUUCCUGCUCCCCGUUGAGCACUUCUGGAGUGGAGAAAAGUUCCUGGCUGCCUGCCCCACCGAGCGACCCCACUGGGAGCUCCACAUCCUCUUCUACCUCCACUUCUUCAUCCAGAAUUUCAGCCUCUGAGUUACCCACCCUUUCUGCUGCCUCCAAAGUAUCCACGGGGCUAUCGGCGAUGGAGGUGGGGUCACCACCGAGGAUAGCAUUCAGCUCCUUAUAGAAGUAGCAGGUCUUAGGUGCACCACCGGAGUGAUGGUUUGCCUCCUUUGCCUUAUGGUACGCCUGCCUCAGCUCCUUUAUCUUCGCUGUGCACUGCUGCGUGUCCUGAUCAUAGCCCUUUUCGCACAAGCCUCGAGAAAUUUGCCCAUAUGUGUCCCGAUUCCUGUGGUUCAAUCGCAGCUGUGACUGAACAGACUCCUAUCCCCAUAUACUGAUCAGAUCCAACAGCUGAGCGGUGGUCCAAGCGGGAGCCCAUUUGGUGUGAUAGCCAGCCAUGCUCACCUGGGAAGCCAGCAAGCGGGAAACGAGAUUUAAAAUUCCCGGGGCUUGCAAAGGGGAGGGGUGGGUUGGCUGCAGGGCAGCGGAGUUCAAACCACUGACCAGAGCGGCAGCAUGGGAAUUGUGGGACACUUUCUGGAGGCCAAUAAAA